UAUGUGAUCGUCUCUCGCAUAUCAAUAAGCGGAGGAAAAGAAACUAACAAGGAUUCCCCUAGUAACGGCGAGUGAAGCGGGAAGAGCUCAAAUUUGAAAUCUUAAAGGGUUUCCCUUUACGAAUUGUAGUUUAAAGAAGUGUUUUCUGUUGAGGUUUUGGUAAAAGUUCUUUGGAAUAGGACAUCAUAGAGGGCGAGAAUCCCGUAUUUGACCUUUACUUUCAACUUUGUGAUACACUUUCAAAGAGUCGGAUUGUUUGGGAAUGCAGUCCAAAAUGGGUGGUAAAUUUCAUCUAAAGCUAAAUAUUGGCGAGAGACCGAUAGCGAACAAGUACCGUGAGGGAAAGAUGAAAAGAACUUUGAAAAGAGAGUUAAACAGUACGUGAAAUUGUCAAAAGGGAAGCGUUUGACACCAGUGUUGUUUUUCUGAAAAUCAAUUAAAGAACUGUUUAUGCUAAGCUGUUUAGACUUUAUCAGCUAUCUGUUUAGUUUUGAGCUUUUCUUUAAUGCACUUUUCAGUUAACAAGUCAACAUCAAUUUCUUUUGCUGUAAAAAAGCUUGAGGAAGGUGGCUUGAGAUUCGUCUUAAGUGUUUAUAGCCUCUUGCCUAUGCAGUCGGAGAGAUUGAGGUCUGCAGCGUAGAUCCUUCGGGGCUAAAUGCAUUUGUGCUAAGUUAUAGCAUUUUAUAGACAACUUGUUGACUAUGAUUUGUCUUGUAGCUUACUCGCUUAUGUUAUUUUACCUACGCUUAGGAUGUUGAAGACUCUACAGAGAU
rnacentral:rRNA from 1 species